rnacentral:ncRNA from 1 species
GCUAGAGGUGAAAUUCUUGGAUUGACUCAAGACCAACUAUUGCGAAAGCAUUUGCCAAGGAUGUUUUCAUUAAUCAAGAACGAAGGUUAGGGGAUCGAAAACGAUCAGAUACCCCUUUGGGGGGCUUUUUCUUUUACAGAAAUAGUCCU